GAUGAACGCUGGCGGCGUGCCUAAUACAUGCAAGUCGAGCGAACAGAUGAGGAGCUUGCUCCUCUGACGUUAGCGGCGGACGGGUGAGUAACACGUGGAUAACCUACCUAUAAGACUGGGAUAACUUCGGGAAACCGGAGCUAAUACCGGAUAAUAUAUUGAACCGCAUGGUUCAAUAGUGAAAGACGGUUUUGCUGUCACUUAUAGAUGGAUCCGCGCCGCAUUAGCUAGUUGGUAAGGUAACGGCUUACCAAGGCAACGAUGCGUAGCCGACCUGAGAGGGUGAUCGGCCACACUGGAACUGAGACACGGACCAGACUCCUACGGGAGGCAGCAGUAGGGAAUCUUCCGCAAUGGGCGAAAGCCUGACGGAGCAACGCCGCGUGAGUGAUGAAGGUCUUCGGAUCGUAAAACGCUGUUAUUAGGGAAGAACAAAUGUGUAAGUAACUAUGCACGUCUUGACGGGACCUAAUCAGAAAGCCGCGGCUAACUACGU
rnacentral:rRNA from 1 species